GGAUAUUAAGUCUUUUCACUAUUUAUUUUUAUUUGGUCAUCUUAUUCAACAUGAAUGGUAUUGAUUUACAAACAAGCAACUAGUUACAUAAGUGGCCGAUAUGAUUAAUACUUUCAAUUUGAGAGGCAUUAUAAAAUUGGAAGCAAUGACAAUCCUAGUAAAUAUUUUGAGGUUUAAGGAUUUUCAAAAAAGAUCUUCUUCUCUUUCUCCUCGAUACCUUAUUAGAGAUGAUGUAUAGUGGCAGUCGCUUGCCGGAGAGGAGAAAAUAAGAGG
rnacentral:lncRNA from 1 species